GGACGCGUAGCUCAGUGGUAGAGCACCGCCUUCACACGGCGGGGGUCGUAGGUUCGAACCCUGCCGCGUCCACCA
rnacentral:tRNA from 1 species